CCUACGGGAGGCAGCAGUAGGGAAUCUUUCACAAUGGGCGAAAGCCUGAUGGAGCAACGCCGCGUGCAGGAUGAAGGCCUUCGGGUUGUAAACUGUUUUUAUAAGCGAGAAAUAUGAUGGUAACUUAUGAAUAAGGAUCGGCUAACUACGUGCCAGCAGCCGCGGUCAUACGUAGGAUCCGAGCAUUAUCCGGAGUGACUGGGUGUAAAGAGUUGCGUAGGUGGCAUAAUAAGUAGCUAGUGAAAUCUGGUGGCUCAACCAUUCAGACUAUUAGCUAAACUGUUAAGCUCGAGACCGUUAGGGGUAACUGGAAUUUCUAGUGUAGGAGUGAAAUCCGUAGAUAUUAGAAGGAACACCAAUAGCGUAGGCAGGUUGCUGGGACGGUUCUGACACUAAGGCACGAAAGCGUAGGGAGCAAACGGGAUUAGAUACCCGUGUAGUC
rnacentral:rRNA from 1 species